UUGAGUCCACAACAUAUGCAAGAGCUCAGAACCUAAUCUUGUAUUCUCGAGUCUGCAACAUAUGCAGGAUCUUGAAACCUAUUCUUGUAUUCUUGGGUUCGCAACAUAUGUAGGAGCUCAGAACCAGGGCAAACUCACUAACCUACAUACGAGAAUUUACUAAUUUCAUCGGGAUACAUCUCAGAUUAUAACAUAGUUCAAUCCACCAACAACCAAUAUUAACAAUCUUAAUGUAAUAUAAAAACAUAAACGAAUAGAUUCAUAAUGUAUGAAUUUACUUGUCAAAAUGGUAACAGUUUAACUAUUAGAGACUAGCCGAAAAUUUUCCUUUUCAUCGUACGUCCUCCGAUUGUUGAGAUUCUUGAUCUAAAGUAUAAUUUAUUUAAUCAACCAAUCCAAAUAAUAUAUAACAGUAUAUAAAAAUCAUGUCCUAACUCAAUUUCAUCUAUACCAAAAUUCCUCAAGUUUUACAUUUCUCACAAUUUAGUCCCUAAACCAAAACUAUUAUAAUUUUCACAUUUGAGUUUCGAUUUUGAAAUCACUCUCAAUUUAAUUCUCCAACAGACCAUAUUAAGACAAAUUUUAGAAUUUUUUGUAUGUAUUUUGGUCUUACUGCAUUUUAGUCUCUAAUUUCAAAAUUAACAACUUUUACUUUACAAAUUAGUCCAUUAACAUAUCUAAGCUUCAAAACUAACCAAAUAACCACAAAAGUUUCAAGAAAAAAAUCAAUGGCAACUUUCACAAGCUUUAACAAUUUCACAAAAUAGUCCAUGAGCUAGCGAAAUCAAGCUCUCGGGAUUCCAAAAUCAUAAAAAUUACAAGAAAUAGACCAAAGUUCACUUUACCAAUUUAAGCUUUUAAGUUAGACGAGAGCUAGGGAUUGUUUCUCUCUACCUAUUCAGAUUUAAGGUUGAAGAUGACAACUAAAACUUUGUUUUUCUUUCUUUAUCUUUUUGUUUAAACAAAUUUUAUUAUGUUUUAAUUGAAUAACAUAUAAUGAAAAAUAUUUACAACACCAAUCAUCCAAACACUAUUAAAAAUGGUAUAUUUAUCAUUUAAACCCCUUAGCAACCCUUAAUUAUGUUUUUUAGUUAAUAGAAAUCAAUAAAGAUCAAUUUUUAUGUCUUUUACGAUUUAAUCCUUUUUCCUUAAUUAACUAGACAAACGACGAAAUUACCAGACCAAAACUUAAUACUACAUUUAAAUAACUUUGUAGAUAUUAAUAAAUAAUAUUUACGAACUCACACGUCAAAAUUGUGGUCCUGAAUCCAUUAUUUCUGAUGCCAAUGAAAACAGGCUAUUACAAUUUAGAUGCAAGUUUCAUUUUAUCCAAUAAAAACUAAUCUGUUAUGCUUUCUGGCCAUAUGCGGAUUAACUUUUAAUUCAAUUUCUAAUUUUUUUUUAUGAAUUUCCAAAGUUACUUUACUACUAUUGUCCCUAAACUAUUUUAGUGAGGUUGGUUAUAUCCAAAUUGCCCAAGAGACACAUCAAACACAUUUUCCUCAUUCACAUUUCAUAUUUAUUCACAUAUACCAAAUUAUAUUCAUUAGUCAUUCCAUGUCAACCAAACUUUUGUAUCACAUUAUUAGUUCAUACAAACCUUAUGAUAAAGGCUUACUAAUUCACCAAUUUUGGAAGCCACUUAUUUCGAACACUUUAAGUCAUGGAACUCAUACAUUUUCAUUACAUAAUAAAUUUGAUGCUUAUUAAACUAUUUUCAUAAUAGUCACACAAAUUCAUUAUUUUUCCUAAACAUUUUAGUGUAGGAAAAGUAAGAGUAUCCAAGGGAACUUGCCUCUUCAAUGAAUAGUAUUAAAAUCCAAGCUCCCCACUUAGAUCCAACCUCAACCAAGAUUGAAACUCCAUUUCUCAAUAUUUCCUCAUUUCCAUACACAUAAAAUUCAACCAAAAUUAACACAAGAUUUUUCUAAGAUUUCACAUGGUAAGCAAUAUCUAAUAACAAGCUAAAAGGGUUAGAAACACCAUUUUUUACCUCAUUGAAGCUUUC
rnacentral:lncRNA from 1 species